UACGUAGGGUGCGAGCGUUAUUCGGAAUUACUGGGCGUAAAGCGUGCGCAGGCGGUUUCGUAAGCCAGGUGUGAAAUCCCCGGGCUUAACCUGGGAAUGGCAUUUGGGACUGCAAGGCUUGAGUGCGGCAGAGGAGACUGGAAUUCCUGGUGUAGCAGUGAAAUGCGUAGAUAUCAGGAGGAACACCGAUGGCGAAGGCAGGUCUCUGGGCUGACACUGACGCUCAUGCACGAAAGCGUGGGGAGCAAACAGG
rnacentral:rRNA from 1 species